rnacentral:rRNA from 1 species
ACUCCUACGGGAGGCAGCAGUGAGGAAUAUUGGUCAAUGGAGGCAACUCUGAACCAGCCAAGUCGCGUGAAGGAUGAAGGUCUUAUGGAUCGUAAACUUCUUUUAUAGCAGAAUAAAGUGACCCACGUGUGGGUUUUUGUAUGUAUGCUAUGAAUAAGGAUCGGCUAACUCCGUGCCAGCAGCCGCGGUAAU